GACGAACGCUGGCGGCGUGGAUUAGGCAUGCAAGUCGGACGGUAGGGCUUUAUCGUAAGAUAGAGUUUGAGAGUGGCGAACGGGUGAGUAACACGUAGGAAUCUACCCUUAAGACGGGGACAACCCAGGGAAACUUGGGCUAAUACCGGAUGAGAGUGCGAGAGAUUGCAUUUAAAAGGAUGGCGAAAGUUGUCGCUUAGGGAUGAGCCUGCGGUCUAUUAGUUAGUUGGUGAGGUAAGAGCUCACCAAGGCGAUGAUAGAUAGGCGGCCUUAACGGGUGGUCGCCCACACUGGGAUUGAGAUACGGCCCAGACUCCUACGGGAGGCAGCAGUCGAGAAUAGUCUACAAUGGCCGGAAGACUGAUAGUGCGACGCCGCGUGAACGAUGAAUCCCUUCGGGGUGUAAAGUUCUUUUAUAUGUGAGCAGUGCUUCUUAUAUUAACAGUAAUGGGGAGAGAGAUAUUAGCAUAUGAAUAAGCAACGGCUAACUCCGUGCCAGCA
rnacentral:rRNA from 1 species